AUGAACGCUGGCGGCGUGCCUAAUACAUGCAAGUCGAACGAAACUUCUUUAUCACCGAGUGCUUGCACUCACCGAUAAAGAGUUGAGUGGCGAACGGGUGAGUAACACGUGGGCAACCUGCCCAAAAGAGGGGGAUAACACUUGGAAACAGGUGCUAAUACCGCAUAACCAUAGUUACCGCAUGGUAACUAUGUAAAAGGUGGCUAUACUACCGCUUUUGGAUGGGCCCGCGGCGCAUUAGCUAGUUGGUAGGGUAAAGGCUUACCAAGGCAAUGAUGCGUAGCCGAAUUGAGAGGUUGAUCGGCCACAUUGGGACUGAGACACGGCCCAAACUCCUACGGGAGGCAGCAGUAGGGAAUCUUCCACAAUGGGCGAAAGCCUGAUGGAGCAACGCCGCGUGGGUGAAGAAGGUCUUCGGAUCGUAAAACCCUGUUGUUAGAGAAGAAAGUGCGUGAGAGUAACUGUUCACGUUUCGACGGUAUCUAACCAGAAAGCCACUGCUAACUACGUG
rnacentral:rRNA from 1 species